rnacentral:lncRNA from 1 species
GAAAAUUUAAAUUGGGCUCCAGAGAAGAGACAUUGAGACUGAUACUUCCAGCACUGAGGAUCUACCUCUAGGUUGAAGUCUAGCUCAGAACUUGGCCUCCGGCCUGGGCACUGCCUCAUACCUGCCAGAAUUGAUCUCAAUGGAGCUGCACAAUGAGAGGUUUUGCAUGUUGUCUAGAGGACUUUGGUUGAGUUCAGAGCUGAGCACACUUGCCUUCAGACUCUCCUGGGACUCCCAGUUCUCAUCCAUAUGAGCAAGGGCUUCAUGUUACUGGCCGUGGCCCUGUGCUGAGUCCUCCUCCCGCCCAUGGCCCUCUCCUCCUGGCCAGUGGUCCUCCGCCUGAACAUGGCCGACUUUGUCUUCAGUUUCCUCUGCCUCGGCAUUGGGCUCCUGAUUUCUCUUCAGCCUGACGCUCUUUUCAGUUAACGGCAAGGCGGUGCACCCAAGUCCGGUGGUGUCCUACCUGGUGACCUCCUACCUGUGCUGGGACGCCAGCGACUUGAUGCUGCACUCCGCAGGGCGCAGCGAGGCGGACAUCCAAACAGCGGAACUCAGACGCUGACUCCGAGCGCACCCCGGGCCUUCCCAUUUCAUACACCCUCGAGGAUGAGACCCAAGCACCUCCAAGGAAUAGCACCCGAGGUCUUCAGGACACCGACCGGUAGCCAUGGCCAGAUGCCCGGCCAACCCCUUCAGCGUGGCCACGCCCUGGAUAUUCGACCUCCCCUGAGGCCCCACCCCCUGAUAUCAGGCCACGCCCUCCGAGGGGACCGGUGGCAAACUCCAGCCCUCGCUCUAGGGCCCGCCCUUUGCGGCUUUGUCCCUGCCCACUGGGUCCUCACAGUACCUCCACCCCAGAGGCCCAGCAUCCCCUCCCGUUCUGCAGACACUUGUCCAGCGUCCCGCUGAGCUCGGCAGUGUGGCUAGUUUGUGUGGCCCUGCCCCUGGUGCCCAGCCAGGGUGGUCUGCAUGGAACUUCUUUCCCGGAGUUCCGGCCUCAGCUCCGAUGUCCACCCUUGUCCCCAGGUGGACACAGCACCGCCCAGCAUUUGGUGCAACUCCACCCUUCUGCAGAACGGGCCCCUCCCUGGGAAGGCAUGGCUUGCAAUAACAUCCCUCUGUACCUUUUCUGGCUUCCCCGCCACAAUAAAACCUCUCAGCCUCAGACCUUCCAUUGCCCCCCACCUCCCCACCAGGGCAGGGUCCAUCCUAGUGUGAGUGAACUGUUCUGGCGUCCCUGACUUGCCCUUUGGGA